rnacentral:rRNA from 1 species
ACUCCUACGGGAGGCAGCAGUGGGGAAUAUUGCACAAUGGGCGCAAGCCUGAUGCAGCCAUGCCGCGUGUAUGAAGAAGGCCUUCGGGUUGUAAAGUACUUUCAGCAGUGAGGAAGGUGGAGUCGUUAAUAGCGGCCUCAUUUGACGUUAGCUGCAGAAGAAGCACCGGCUAACUCCGUGCCAGCAGCCGCGGUAAUACGGAGGGUGCGAGCGUUAAUCGGAAUUACUGGGCGUAAAGCGCAUGCAGGUGGUUUGUUAAGUCAGAUGUGAAAGCCCGGGGCUCAACCUCGGAAUAGCAUUUGAAACUGGCAGACUAGAGUACUGUAGAGGGGGGUAGAAUUUCAGGUGUAGCGGUGAAAUGCGUAGAGAUCUGAAGGAAUACCGGUGGCGAAGGCGGCCCCCUGGACAGAUACUGACACUCAGAUGCGAAAGCGUGGGGAGCAAACAGGAUUAGAUACCCUGGUAGUGUACU